CUGGGGCAUUGUACCGGAGGAAAGGCAGCGGGGGUUCUGACUCACAGGCUCAAAGCGUUUUGGAUUAAAAUGCAUUUUGUAGAGAGAAUCCGCGGCCUAUUGGAGCUGCGGAAACUGCCUCAACCUGAGACUGGGCCGUGAAAUUGGAGUGCCAGGCAGGCAUUAACCUGGCUGGCGAGUGGGAGCAGAGCAGUGACAGGAUGUGGCCCACGAGUGACACAGCAGUAGGACUAGAGCCAUGCCAGACUCUUGUGUAACAAGCAGCCUGUUAAAUCAGCCAGAGCCAAGAGGAGGAAGUGAAGGCCAGAGGCUGCCCUGUUGCAGACAUAUCCUGCAUGUACAAUUAAAUCUGUGGAGAGGAUUGCCACAUCAUCAUACUAGCUGUCUCUUGACUGGUCUGAUUACCCAAAACAUGUCAUGCUAACCUGGCAGUGUGGGCAAAACCAUUACCAGGAAAUCUUAUCCCAACAAGAGGCAGGGCAUAGAGUACAAAGUAACCGCGUAUGGUCAAUGUGAGAAAUUGAGGACAUAGUUGAAAACUGUUGUGGAACAGCUGUAAACAACUGACAUCAUUGCAUCGUA